UAUACCUAUAAAUAAAAAAAAAGAAAAAAAAAACAAAAAUAAAUAAAAACACAUAAAUAAAACAACUAAAAGUAGUAAACCUUCAUGCAACGACUUCAGUUCCAUGACACUUAAAAUUGUUUACAUUUUCAACAAAACAGCAAACAAUAUAGAAAAAAAAAUUAAAAGUAAAUUCCAAUUCCAUGCUAUAGCAUGAAGGUGGUACACUGAAAAAUAAUUUUUUGUUUUCAUUAGAUCAUAUUUAUUUGUCGCUUUUUUCAAGUUAAAUAGGUUAAUGGUUAAUCAUAAGUUCCAUGGCCGUAAUUUAAAGCCACAAACUCCCAAAAACUGUAAUUCCAAAGAAAUGCCCGAAUCAAUUCCGAAAGUAAUUCUCUAGCGACAAAUCAAAUCUCGAAGAAAAAUUAAAAAUUGAGGUAAAGAUGGAAAAAAAAGUAUGAGAGGAAAAAAAUAGGAAAGGAAUAAAAGGACGAAAAGAAAAAUUAGAAGAAGAAGAAGAAAAAGAGGAUGAAGAAGAAAAAGAUGAAGAAUUAGAAUAACAAGAAAAUGAACCAAUUCUAACAAAAUCCCACAUCAAAGUGCAUAUUUACCAUGAAAAUCGUGUCAUAGAAAUAUCGAAUUUACAAUCUUAGCAAAGCCUUCCCUUCUUCUUCGGCCCAUUGGAGCGUAACCAUAUGAAGUACGAAAGUACAAAAAGUACCUUGAGAGUGUAUAGAAAUGCAUAUUGCAUAUAUGUAAAACAUUAUUCUACACAAUAAUGUGAGGUAAAAUGGGAAGCCAGAGGGGAGAAAACUAGAAGAACAAUUAUUGCAUACAAAACCAAUCUAUCGAUAUAUUGAUUGUUAUCGCUGCUUCUCUCAAACAAAACACAAUGUGUUGACUAGAAGAGGUAGUUUAUUGUUUGAUGAAGCAAUUCAUCGUUUUUAAAAAAACAAAAGAGAUAUUCAUCUCUUCUUUUACCACAAACGACACAAACUAUAACAAUGGGAAAUAUGUAUGCAUAAAAAAACAACUUCUUUUUUUGAAUUGAUUUAGGUUAAAGAUACUUUUUUUU